AUGCUUGCAUUGCAGAAAUCCAAGCAGUGGAUGACGCUUAGGGCAAAAAAACUGAAGGAAGACAUAUGUACGUUGUUUAAAUCCAGCAAUGACACGGUGGUAAAAAUGUCCUUAGUGGAUAAACUACAACAUCUCGGAAUCGAUCACCUCUUUGAAGACCAGAUUGACACCGCUAUGUGGCAAAUCCUGAAGAGUGAAUUUAGUAACUACAACCUCUAUGAAGUUGCCCUUCAGUUUCGCUUGCUGAGGGAACAUGGAUACUGUGUAUCUCCAGAUGUUUUCAAUUGAUUCAAAAGUGAAGAUGGAAGCUUCAUUAAUGAUAUAACAAAUGAACCCAGGACACUAUUAUGUCUAUACAAUGCAUCUCAUCUUCUAAAUCAUGGUGAGCCAGCACUUGAAGAAGCCAUAGCUUUUGCAAGGCAUCAUCUUGAGUCAUGUAGUGGUAGUUUAAAGACCCCACUUGCUCAACAAGUCCAACGUGCCCUUCAGAUACCAAUGCCAAGGACAAAUAAGAGGGUGGAAAUGCUACAUUAUAUCCUAGAGUACGAACAAGAGGAGCAUAACCCAAUCGUACUGGAGCUUGCCAAAUUGGAUUUCAACCUUCAGCAAAAUGUCCACUUGAAGGAGCUCAAAGCUAUUACCAGGUGGUGGAAGCAUUUUUUCGGAUAUAUCGAGCUAAGCUUUAUCCGCGAUCGUGUGGUGGAGGGUUAUACAUGGGCCUCUGUGUUGUACUAUGACACAAAAUUUGAGCUCACUCGAAGUAUGAUCACAAAGAUGAUUGUACUAAUUACCACAUUAGAUGACAUAUAUGAUAACCAUGCCACCCUAGAGGACAGUUGGAAGCUACAUGAAGCAAUACAAAGAUGGGAUAAGAGCGCCGCUUUUCUCCUGCCGGAGUACUUGAAGAAGUUCUAUAUGGAGAUGCUGAGGACAUUUGAGAAUAUUGAGGCUGAAAUGCUAGCCAAUACGAACUACGAUAUAGCACACCUGAAAAAAGCGGUCCAAAAUAACGUGACUGGUUACCUACAAGAAGCGAAAUGGUCACACAGGAACCACAAGCCAAGCUUUGUAGAUCAGGUCAAGUUGACUAGUCUGAACAUUGGUGUGCCAACGAUAUGUGUGAGUAUGAUGGCUGGAAUGAGUGAUGCAAUGAUGAAGACAGCACUCAAAUGGGCUGCUAGUGUCCCGGAUGUCGUCAUAUCAGUUGGGAAGAUUUCCCGUUUCAUGAAUGAUAUCGGUGCAUUUGAGCGUCGAAAAUGCAAGGGGGAGAUGGCAAGCACUGUAGAGUGUUACAUCAAUGAGUACAACGUGACAAGUGAAGUGGCCAUUACCAAAACUGUUGCCCUGAUAGAACAUGAAUGGAAGACCCUGAACCAAGCUCGCUUUCAAAAUCAUCUCCCUGCAUUGCAGCAGUUCAUUAGCUUAGCGAUUAGCACAACAUUUUUCUAUGGUAACAGAAAUGAUAUAUACACUGGGUGA
rnacentral:rRNA from 1 species